GCAAAUAUCUGCAGAUCUUGUGUUAGUACACAAAUGGAAUUUCCCCUGCACUCAUAAUCAAAAACAUCAGAUAUUGGCAACCUUUUAGUCUGUACUUUGUGCUACCUCCCUUUGCUGAAGAGAACAGCUCUGAGUCUUCUCCUAUAAUGUCUGAUAAGGUUGGACAAUACAUGGCAAGGGAUCUGAGACCAUUGCUUCAUACAGAGUCUCUCCAGAUCUCCAAAAUUUUGAGGUCCAUGCUGGUGGAUUCUACUCUUCAGUUCACCACACAGGUUUUCUGUGGGUUUCAAUAUAAUCUAGUUGCAGACUGAAAUUAUGGACUGAAGACCGGACAUUCUCCUUUAGGAUUUUCUGGUAGAGAGCAGAAUUCAUGUUUCCCUCAAUUACUGCAAGUUGCCCAGGCCCUGAAGCAGCAGAGCAUCCCCACACCAUCACACUUCCACCACCACGCUUGACCAUAAUUGAGUGAGCUUUGCCUUUUAUGGAGUUUUGUGGGCAUUAUCAAACACAAACCAUCAGGCCGUGCCUGUGGCCAGCAAUUUACAGCAUUCAUCAAUAUACACACGCAAGUAUGAAGAACAUUAGCGUUUCUGAAACUUUUGUAAAUGCAUUGGAAUUUUUUUAAUUUUUUUGGUUUGGAUUAUGUAAAACAUUUACAAACAACUUUACUAAAAGAUUGAUCAUAUUUAUGAUUAGUGAUCAUCAGCAUGCAUGCUUACAGCAUAGACUACAUUGUGCAUUACAAUUUGAGUUUGUGAUACAAAACGAUUUGGCAUUUGAAAUAGGAAAUAUGACUACAAUAUUUGGAUUGAACAGAUGGCAAGCUUGCCAGAAAGAGCAUUUUAGAUUAGAACCAACUGGGACAGGGAUCUAGUGGAGAGAAACAAAAGUUUUCACUUUCAUGCAAUGUAAAAAUGUGUGAGUAUGAUUGCAAGACAGUCGAAGACCUGCAAAGUGGUGGUCCUUAACUGCCAGGUCAGUGCAGGGCACAAUGGUUUAAAUAACGAUACUUGUUUAUUUAUACUUUUGGAAAUAGUACCAACUACAUUUGUUAGAAAAUACUCUGGGCAGAUAUCCAAAAAUAAAACAUGAACAAAACACAAAUAAUAACUGUGGUCAAUUUAAUAUAAAAACCGAUGUGCAUCUGAAGUUAAUACCAAUUAUGAACUCGAGUCACGUAGAACUGUCAGAGCCAGAAUUCACAGACCAUGCUGACCGUGUUCGCCUGGGGUGUUUGGUUUUAAGGGGAAAGGAAAAAUAUAUAUAGACUACAUAUACAAAUACUUAGAACACUAAACACAUAUAGAUAGUGGCACUGUGUCAUACCCCUACUGCAUUACAAUUACAACUAAAAUGUGUGGGGUUUUUAAAAAUUUGUUAUAUAACAUGUUUUGGUAUUUUUAAUGCUUUUUAAAGCAUUUAAAAGUAUUACUGUAUUUCAGUAUCAAAGAUAGUGCUAAACUAGUAAAUUAAAAAUCCUUUCUGAAUUAGUAUUGCAUUAAAUAUGCAUUAAAGAAGCCAAGGUGGGAAGUUGGUUUAUGACAAAGCCACUCACUAUUCCAUAUUUGUGUAACUCUUGCCCAGACUGAUUGAAUGGUUCCUCAUGAGUAUGGAAUAUUACCAUUAUUGGCAUAAUUAAUGAACACAUUGUAAUUAUUGUUAAUCUUUGUACUCUAGUGUGAGUCACUGGAGAAGAUUACUUUGCUAUUGCACCUACCACUGUGUUCCUGAACAAUGCAUCUUCAAGCUGGAAUCAAAUUAGUUGAGAGAAAUCUAACUGCCUGGGGCUUUGAUCAAAAAGGAUACACAUGGAUGAGAGUGUCAGUCCAUUUAGUUUCUUGUCCAACCCUGGUUCACAAAUAAAGAAAAAUGAAUCAAUUCCUCAUUCUGUGUCAAAGAAUGUCUCAUUCUCAGAAGCGCUUCCUUUUUAACCAGCGUGGGCUACAGAAAAUGUAUCUAAAAAUGUAUCUUCUGAAAAAGUAGGGAGCUUGAGAGUAGAUGUGUCAUCGCCACCAUGAUAUAGCUCUAAAUGAAGUUACUCCUCCUGGAUACAGUUAUGUACAUCAGCCUCAUCUAACUGGCAGAGGAGGAGGUGUUGCACUCAUCUAUAUUCAUAAUCCAAGCGUCACAGAAGAACCUAGUCAUAAAUUUAACUCUUUUGAAGUUCUUUAUACCAGUAUAACAUAUGUAGCCACAAAAAAUAAGUCAAAUCUGACAAUUAGUAUUUACAGACCCCCAGGGCCGUAUACUGAAUUCCUUAGUGAAUUUGCAGAUUUUAUCUCAAAUCUGGUUGUUUCUUUAGAUAAAGCAUUAAUCGUUGGUGAUGUUAAUAUUCAUUUUGAUAAUCCAAAAGACCCUCUGAGAACAACACAGAUUGUGUCCAUGUUAGAUUCAGUAGCAGUCAAUCAGAACGUAAUAGGACCUACUCAUAAUGGUGGUCACACUCUUGACCUGAUACUAACAUACAGAUUAUAUAUAGACAAUAUAGUCACACUUCCGCAGUCUGAGGUUUUCUCAGACCAUUAUCUCAUCUCGUUUAAAUUGCGUAUUGACCAUAAUAUUUGCACCUCGCCAUGCUACCACGUAAAAUGUACAUUCAUGUCAGCUACUGUACAGAGUUUCAUCAACAACCUCCCAGAGGCAUCAAUUAGAUUUGGAUCACCAUCUGAUCCCAUAGAAUUCGAUCAGGCGAGUGAAUGCUUAGAAUCAAAGUUCCAAAAUACACUAGAUAAGGUAGCUCCACUCAAAAGAAAAAUAAUUAAAGAGAAAAAGCUAGCACCCUGGUAUAAUGAUCAAACACGUACCUUAAAACAGACCACUCGACAAUUAGAACGUAAAUGGCGUCAAACCAAACUGGUAGUAUUUCAAACUGCAUGAAGGAGAGCCCACUGAACUAUAGACAAUCUCUUAGUGCUGAUAGAAAAGUUUCUCUCUCUCUCACCUUAAUAGAAGAAAAUAAAAACUAUUUUAGAUGUCUAUUCAACACUAUAGCAAAAUUAACUAGGAAUAAAACCACCACAGAAACAGGCACACAAUCAUACCUGUGAGGAGUAAGUUCAAUCAACCUCCUCAUGGUAACUCAAAGUUAAUAUGCACGCACAAUGAGAACAUAAAGACAUUGUCAGUGGAUUGAUGAUUUACCAUGGAAACCCAGGGUGAGAAAAAGCGAACCGCAUACAUUAGCGAAGCACCUUCACUCACUUCGGAUGAGGAGCUGAUGCUGUCCCUUAAUCAAGGGCAACCCAUGAUCGAUGGGAUUCCAGGGGACAGUUUAUCAGUGUCAGCUACUUCCCAUGAUACAAGUGGCUUGAUAAAGUAUAAAAUAAUUGGCUUGGUUUCCAGUGAUAAAUCCUUAAACACUCAAGACCAUACACACUGCCACCGUUUGAAAAAGGAAUUUUGAAAUAAAUUGUGUCAAUGUUUCACUUGUGUAUUCUGCAUGCUUUUUUUAAAAAUUUUACUGCAUAUGGUGUGUACAAUCUUAAUUGUAGUGCCGCUAUUAGAUCAAAUGGAGUUGAAACAGCUGAACAUAAAAAAAGACCAGGCUUGAAAUUGAAUUGCUGGAGCACUGGCUAAAGGUGGGCAAACUAUUUGCCUAGCAAUUAUUAUUCUGUCAUUUAUUAUUGAAUGAACCACACUUGACUCUUCACUUUAUUUUCCACAUGCUCUGCUUCACCCAAGUUAUAUACAGAAAACUCCCUAUGGCAAAAAAAAAAAAGAAGGGCAAUGCAUAAAAUGUGCUCAGUGUUAAGGCCUGUUCACACGGGGACGUUUUUUCAGCGCGUUAAACGUUCCAUUUAAGACCCCAUGUCUAAAUCAAUGGCUGUUAAUGGGAGUGUUCAGACGUGGCAUCAAAGCGUCAAUUUUUUUUUGUUGAGGGAUUCGUUGUUGGUUUUUUUUUUAUGUCUGCACUAAAAAAGGUCCGAUCAAUGAGAUUUUGCUCACAUGCCCAGAGCAGCUGAAGUUACAUAAAAGUACGACUUGAUGGCUCUCAAAUACAAAACUGUCUUGUUGACAAAGAAGAAGAUGCAAGUACCCACCAUUUUAGUGAGAGAGUGUAUAAGUGACAUACUUGAAAUAAAAUGCUCACUGCCUAUAAAUCCUUCUGCCUACACACAUAAACAAGGUAUCCUUUGAAAGCACCAGAUUCAAAAUGACUGUGUGUGUGUGUAUGUGUGUGUGUGUGUGUGUGUGUGUGUGUGUGUGUGUGUGUGUGUGUGCACAUGUGUUUAACAGAGACUUACAUUUUCCAAUUGUAUACAUUCUUGCCUCAAAGAGAAGGAAGACAUUAGUAUUUGAUUCCUGCUGUGUUAACAUAUUGAGAGUCUAAAAGACUGGGUGCUGUUUAUGUAUUUUAUUUUGGUUUUAUUUGCUUCAUAUCAUUUUCCAAGUAUUUCUGGAUACUUGUAACAAACACAGUAUAAAUGAACUUGGAAAUACAGUCAACAACUUCUGAAAAUCCUUACGAUGGUAAUUCACAAAGAACAUUUUUUAUACUUGAUUUCAACAAUACAAUCAUUUCUCAGGAGAAUAAUGAACAGAAAGCACCAAAAAUAAAUCAGGGCCUCAAAUCACUCUGCAUUCAUAUGAACAUUACAGGAGUAUAAUAAAAAAAAUAAAUAAAAAAAAACCCAUGAAGCUUAUUAUUCAGACUCUUUUAUAUCCAUAUUUCACAAAGCAAGAUCAUUUUCUGUGAUUGGCAUGUCGCGGUGACGGUAAAUUUAAUAAUCAUACUUGUUCAUGUUAAAAGUAAUAUUAUAGCA